UACACAAUGUAAUGUUUAAUUAGGAUUUA
rnacentral:piRNA from 1 species